AUAGCCACGUCAUAGUACAGCAUGAACGUGAAAUCUAAAGUUUCACAGAGUGUAGAAGGAUCAGCCUGUAAGAUGGGGAGGCACGGACCGGUCAGCGUGGUGUGAGAGAUGGGGAGGCACGGACCGGUCAGCGUGGUGUGAGAGGUGGGGAGGCACGGACCGGUCAGCGUGGUGUGAGAGAUGGGGAGGCACGGACCGGUCAGCGUGGUGUGAGAGAUGGGGAGGCACGGACCGGUCAGCGUGGUGUGAGAGGUGGGGAGGCACGGACCGGUCAGCGUGGUGUGAGAGAUGGGGAGGCACGGACCGGUCAGCGUGGUGUGAGAGAUGGG